rnacentral:rRNA from 1 species
UACGAAGGGGGCUAGCGUUGCUCGGAAUUACUGGGCGUAAAGGGCGCGUAGGCGGACAGUUUAGUCAGAGGUGAAAGCCCAGGGCUCAACCUUGGAAUUGCCUUUGAUACUGGCUGUCUUGAGUUCGGGAGAGGUGAGUGGAACUGCGAGUGUAGAGGUGAAAUUCGUAGAUAUUCGCAAGAACACCAGUGGCGAAGGCGGCUCACUGGCCCGAUACUGACGCUGAGGCACGAAAGCGUGGGGAGCAAACAGG